rnacentral:rRNA from 1 species
UACGUAGGGGGCAAGCGUUGUCCGGAUUCAUUGGGCGUAAAGAGCGUGUAGGCGGCCAGGUAGGUCGGUUGUGAAAACUGGAGGCUCAACCUUCAGAGGUCGACCGAAACCAUCUGGCUAGAGUCCGGGAGAGGAGAGUGGAAUUCCUGGUGUAGCGGUGAAAUGCGUAGAGAUGUGGAGGAAUACCGAUGGCGAAGGCAGCCCCCUGGGUCGAUACUGACGCUCAUGCACGAAAGCGUGGGGAGCAAACAGG